CCAAUAGCGUAUAUUAAAGUUGUUGCAGUUAAAAAGCUCGUAGUUGAAUUUCGGGGUUAGUAGGUUGGUCAUGCCUCUGGUAUGUACUGGUCUCACUGAUUCCUCCUUCCUGAUGAACCUUAAUGCCAUUUAUUUGGUGUUUUGGGGAAUUUGGACUGUUACUUUGAAAAAAUUAGAGUGUUUAAAGCAAGCUAACGCUUGAAUACAUUAGCAUGGAAUAAUGAAAUAGGACGUUCGAUCCUAUUUUGUUGGUUUCUAGGAUUGACGUAAUGAUUAAUAGGGAUAGUUGGGGGCAUUAGUAUUCAAUUGUCAGAGGUGAAAUUCUUGGAUUUAUUGAAGACUAGCUACUGCGAAAGCAUUUGCCAAGGAUGUUUUCAUUAAUCAAGAACGAAAGUUAGGGGAUCGAAGACGAUCAGAUACCGUCGUAGUCUUAACCAUAAACUAUGCCGACUAGGGAUCGGAUGAUGUUAAUUUUUUAAUGACUCAUUCGGCGCCUUACG
rnacentral:rRNA from 1 species